rnacentral:rRNA from 1 species
CGAAACUACAAAUGAAGUGACGGGGCCCGGCACAAGCGGUGGAGCACGUGGUUUAAUUCGAUGCAAACCGAAGAACCUUACCUGGGUUUGACAUGUACGUGGUACGGAUAUGAAAGUUGAAGGACUCCGCUUUCGGGUGGAGAGCGUACACAGGUGCUGCAUGGCUGUCGUCAGCUCGUGUCGUGAGAUGUUGGGUUAAGUCCCGCAACGAGCGCGACCCCUGCAUUCAGUUGCCAUCGGGUGAAGCCGGGCACUCUGGAAGGACUGCCAUCGACAAGAUGGAGGAAGGUGGGGACGACGUCAAGUCAUCAUGGCCCUUAUGUCCAGGGCGACACACGUGCUACAAUGGCCGGCACAACGGGAAGCGAGUUCGCGAGGACGAGCGGAUCCCUUAAAGCCGGUCGCAGUUCGGAUUGAAGUCUGCAACUCGACUUCAUGAAGCUGGAAUCGCUAGUAAUCGCAGAUCAGCCAAGCUGCGGUGAAUACGUUCCCGGGCCUU